rnacentral:rRNA from 1 species
AGUAAUACAUCGGAACGUAUCCUAAAGUGGGGGAUAACGCAUCGAAAGAUGUGCUAAUACCGCAUAUACUCUGAGGAGGAAAGUAGGGGAUCGAAAGACCUUAUGCUUUUGGAGCGGCCGAUGUCUGAUUAGCUAGUUGGUAAGGUAAUGGCUUACCAAGGCAACGAUCAGUAGUUGGUCUGAGAGGACGACCAGCCACACUGGGACUGAGACACGGCCCAGACUCCUACGGGAGGCAGCAGUGGGGAAUUUUGGACAAUGGGCGCAAGCCUGAUCCAGCAAUGCCGCGUGAGUGAAGAAGGCCUUCGGGUUGUAAAGCUCUUUCAGUUGAGAAGAAAAGAUUGUAACUAAUAAUUACAAUCCUUGACGGUAUCAACAGAAGAAGCACCGGCUA